rnacentral:rRNA from 1 species
AUUUUCCGGUUGAUCCUGCCGGCGGCCACCGCUAUAGGAGUUCGAUUAAGACAUGCGAGUCGAGAGUCGUUAUGGACUCGGCGGACUGCUCAGUAACACGUGGACAACGUGCCCUUAAGUGGAGGAUAAUCUCGGGAAAUUGAGGAUAAUACUCCAUAGAUCAUGACACCUGGAAUGAGUCAUGGUUCAAAGUUCCGGCGCUUAAGGAUCGGUCUGCGGCCUAUCAGGUAGUAGUGGGUGUAAUGUACCUACUAGCCUAUGACGGGUAUGGGCCUUGAGAGAGGGAGCCCAGAGUUGGAUUCUGAGACACGAAUCCAGGCCCUACGGGGCGCAGCAGUCGCGAAAACUUCACAAUGGGCGCAAGCCCGAUGAGGGAACUCCUAGUGCUAGCACUUUUUGUGUUAGCUUUUCUUCAGCGUAGAUAACUGAAGGAAUAAGGGCUGGGUAAGACGGGUGCCAGCCGCCGCGGUAAUACCUGCAGCCCAAGUGGUGGUCGAUUUUAUUGAGUCUAAAACGUUCGUAGCCGGUCUGGUAAAUCCUUGGGUAAAUCGGAAAGCUUAACUUUCCGAAUUCCGAGGAGACUGCCAGACUUGGGACCGGGAGAGGCUAGAGGUACUUCUGGGGUAGGGGUAAAAUCCUGUAAUCCUAGAAGGACCACCGGUGGCGAAGGCGUCUAGCUAGAACGGAUCCGACGGUGAGGGACGAAGCCCUGGGUCGCAGACGGGAUUAGAUACCCCGGUAGUCCAGGGUGUAAACGCUGCAGACUUGGUGUUGGAGAUCCUUCGAGGGUAUUCAGUGCCGGAGAGAAGUUGUUAAGUCUGCUACUUGGGGAGUACGUCCGCAAGGAUGAAACUUAAAGGAAUUGGCGGGGGAGCACCGCAACGGGAGGAGCGUGCGGUUUAAUUGGAUUCAACGCCGGAAAU